rnacentral:tRNA from 1 species
GCCUUCGUGGUGUAACUGGAAGCACGUCCGGCUAGCAAUCGGAAGGUUCGAAGUUCGAAUCCCAACGAGGCCA